rnacentral:rRNA from 1 species
ACGCACGCUGGCGGCGUGCUUAACACAUGCCAGUCGCACGGAAAGGCCCUGCUUGCCGGGUACUCGAGUGGCGAACGGGUGAGUAACACGUGGGUGAUCUGCCCUGCACUUCGGGAUAAGCUUGGGAAACUGGGUCUAAUACCGGAUAGGACCGCACUUUAGUGUGUGUGGUGGAAAGUUUUUUCGGUGUAGGAUGAGCUCGCGGCCUAUCAGCUUGUUGGUGGGGUAAUGGCCUACCAAGGCGGCGACGGGUAGCCGGCCUGAGAGGGUGUACGGCCACAUUGGGACUGAGAUACGGCCCAGACUCCUACGGGAGGCAGCAGUGGGGAAUAUUGCACAAUGGGCGCAAGCCUGAUGCAGCGACGCCGCGUGGGGGAUGAAGGCCUUCGGGUUGGAAACUCCUUUCGCUAGGGACGAAGCUUUUUGUGACGGUACCUAGAUAAGAAGCACCGGCUAACUACGUG